rnacentral:rRNA from 1 species
UACGUAGGGGCUAGCGUUAUCCGGAAUUACUGGGCGUAAAGGGUGCGUAGGUGGUUUCUUAAGUCAGAGGUGAAAGGCUACGGCUCAACCGUAGUAAGCCUUUGAAACUGGGAAACUUGAGUGCAGGAGAGGAGAGUGGAAUUCCUAGUGUAGCGGUGAAAUGCGUAGAUAUUAGGAGGAACACCAGUUGCGAAGGCGGCUCUCUGGACUGUAACUGACACUGAGGCACGAAAGCAUGGGGAGCAAACAGGAUUAGAUACCCUGGUAGUCCCUGA